AUACCUUUCUCGGCCUUUUGGCUAAGAUCAAGUGUAGUAUCUGUUCUUAUCAGUUUAAUAUCUGAUACAUGGGACAUCGUCCCACAUGAUAUUAAAUUAAUUUUUUUCUUGGGUGAGGUCCCACCACAGUAGCUAGCUAUUGGGGACCUCGCGCGUCGCCCAUACGUUGCACUACUGCAAGGGCCCGGCGCACCCCCU
rnacentral:snRNA from 1 species